rnacentral:rRNA from 1 species
UACGUAGGGUGCAAGCGUUGUCCGGAAUUAUUGGGCGUAAAGAGCUCGUAGGCGGUUCGUCGCGUCGGCUGUGAAAUCCCGGAGCUCAACUCCGGGUCUGCAGUCGAUACGGGCAGACUGGAGUUCGGCAGGGGAGACUGGAAUUCCUGGUGUAGCGGUGAAAUGCGCAGAUAUCAGGAGGAACACCAAUGGCGAAGGCAGAUCUCUGGGCCGUAACUGACGCUGAGGAGCGAAAGCAUGGGGAGCGAACAGG